rnacentral:rRNA from 1 species
UACGUAGGGUGCAAGCGUUAAUCGGAAUUACUGGGCGUAAAGCGUGCGCAGGCGGUGAUGUAAGACAGGUGUGAAAUCCCCGGGCUUAACCUGGGAAUGGCAUUGGUGACUGCACGGCUAGAGUGUGUCAGAGGGGGGUAGAAUUCCACGUGUAGCAGUGAAAUGCGUAGAGAUGUGGAGGAAUACCGAUGGCGAAGGCAGCCCCCUGGGAUAACACUGACGCUCAUGCACGAAAGCGUGGGGAGCAAACAGG